rnacentral:lncRNA from 1 species
UAUAGUUAUUUGAUAUUAUACAAAUUUUGAAAUAGUGAAACAAUAAUAAUGGUAGAAAUAAUUCUUUAUUUUUAUUUUCUAAUCCAAGAAGAGAACACACCCUCAAUAUGAUACGGAAUUAAUUGGCUCUCAACCGACCAUGAUUUGACACCCUUAAAGGCAUCAAACUGUGUGGCCCGCAAGAAAUUGUCCAUAGUUAUAUUUAUUAAAACGUGCCUACAGGCUUCAAGCCUGCAAAAGCACUCAUUCAUGCAUUCAAACGACAGCGGUUUGGUCUGUGAUUAACAAGUGGUCAAGAAAACUUUCCUUGAAGUGUUGAGGAAACGCUAUCAAUCAACGUACACGCGGAAUAGAAAAACUUCAGCGGGUUGAGUGUGCCAUGUCAGCAUGAUUAGGAACGAAGAUAUAACAGUGGUAUUGGGUCGGCUAUCCCGUAUUUAAUUAAAAGGAAAUACUUAAUUUUGUAUUUUAUGUUUAAGUAUUGCUUUUGUAAUUUUUAUUAAUCUGCCUUUUUUAUUUCAUUGUUCUGUCUCUUUGUCCAUAAAAUUAUUUGAACAACUCAAUAAUUUGAAAAUAAAAGUCCAAUGGCUCU